GAGGGUAUAGCUCAGUUGGUAGAGAGCUUGUCUCACAUACAAAAGCCCUGGGUUCAAUCCCCAGCACCACCA
rnacentral:tRNA from 1 species